rnacentral:rRNA from 1 species
UGCGUAGGUGGCGCCAUAAGUCAGGUGUGAAAUCUCGGGGCUUAACUCCGAAACUGCAUUUGAUACUGUGGUGCUUGAGGACUGGAGAGGAGACUGGAAUUUACGGUGUAGCAGUGAAAUGCGUAGAGAUCGUAAGGAAGACCAGUGGCGAAGGCGGGUCUCUGGACAGUUCCUGACACUGAGGCAGGCCAGGGAGCGAAACG